CGGUCCGGGAGGGGCCUGCGUAGUAUCAGCUUGUUGGUAGGGUAAUGGCCUACCAAGGCUACGACGCUUAGCUGGUCUGAGAGGAUGAUCAGCCACAAUGGAACUGAGACACGGUCCAUACUCCUACGGGAGGCAGCAGUAGGGAAUCUUCCGCAAUGGGCGAGGGCCUGACGGAGCGACACCGCGUGGAGGACGAAGGUCUUUUGAUUGUAAACUCCUUUUCUGAGGGAAUAAAUGAUGAAGGUACCUCAGGAAUAAGCACCGGCUAACUACGUGCCAGCAGCCGCGGUAAUACGUAGGGUGCAAGCGUUAUCCGGAAUUAUUGGGCGUAAAGCGUGCGAAGGCUGUUUAGUAAGUUUGAGGUUAAAUCUGGUGGCUCAACCAUCAAAUCGUCUCAAAAACUACUAAACUAGAGAAUGAUAGAGGCAACUGGAAUUCUGCGUGUAGGGGUAAAAUCCGUUGAUAUGCAGAGGAACACCAAAAGCGAAGGCAGGUUGCUGGGUCAUUUCUGACGCUGUUGCACGAAAGCGUGGGGAGCGAACAGGAUUAGAUACCCUGGUAGUCCACGCCGUAAACGAUGGAUACUCGGUUUUAGAGGGAAUCGACCCCCUUUUGAGCCUAAGCUAACGCGUUAAGUAUCCCGCCUGGGGAGUACGGUCGCAAGAUUAAAACUCAAAGGAAUAGACGGGGACCCACACAAGCGGUGGAGCAUGUGGUUUAAUUCGACAAUAAACGGGGAACCUUACCAAGGCUUGACAUCUCCGGAACUCAUUAGAAAUAUUGAGGUGCCGCAAGGAACCGGAUGACAGGUGCUGCAUGGUCGUCGUCAGCUCGUGCCUUGAGGUGUUCGGUUAAGUCCGUAAACGAGCGCAACCCAUGUCCCGUGUUGCAUUUUUCACAGGAGACUGCCGGCUUCAAGUCGGAGGAAGGUAUGGAUGACGUCAGAUCAGCAUGGCCCUUAUGCCUUGGGCCACACACGUGCUACAAUGGCCGGUACAAUGAGCAGCCAACCCGCAAGGGGGAGCCAAUCUCAUCAAAGCCGGUCUCAGUUCGGAUUGAAGGCUGCAAUUCGUCUUCAUGAAGUUGGAAUCGCUA
rnacentral:rRNA from 1 species